rnacentral:rRNA from 1 species
UACGAAAGUAGUAAGGGCGUAUGGUGGAUGCCUAGGCUCUCAGAGGCGAUGAAGGACGUGAUAAGCUGCGAAAAGUCACGGUGAGGUGCAAAUAACUUUUGACCCGUGAAUGUCCGAAUGGGGAAACCCGGUAUCUUGAAGAGAUAUCAUCCGAAAGGAGGCAAACCCAGUGAACUGAAACAUCUAAGUAACUGGAGGAAAAGAAAACAAAAGUGAUUCCCUAAGUAGUGGCGAGCGAACGGGGAAUAGCCCAAACCAGAUUUGUUUAGGCAAAUCUGGGGUUGUAGGACUGUAAUAUGGACUAUACUUUGAUAAUAGAAUAGAACUGGAAAGUUCAACCGUAGAGGGUGAUAGUCCCGUAUAUGAAAUUGAAGUAUUACCUAACAGUAUCCUGAGUAGCACGGGGCACGUGAAACCUUGUGUGAAUCUGGCGGGACCAUCCGUUAAGGCUAAAUACUCCUGAGAGACCGAUAGUGAACUAGUACCGUGAGGGAAAGGUGAAAAGAACUUCGAAUAGAAGAGUGAAAUAGUACCUGAAACCAUACGCUUACAAGCGGAGGGAGCUUUAGAGUGACCUCGUGCCUUUUGCAUAAUGAUCCUACGAGUUACUCUCAUCUAGCGAGAUUAAGGUAUUCAGUACCGUAGUCGUAGCGAAAGCGAGUCUGAAUAGGGCGCAAGAGUUAGGUGAGGUAGACGCGAAACCGUGUGAUCUACCCAUGACCAGGUUGAAGCUUUGGUAACACAAAGUGGAGGACCGAACCAGUUGACGUUGAAAAGUCUUUGGAUGAGUUGUGGGUAGGGGUGAAAGGCCAAUCAAACACGGAAAUAGCUCGUACUCCCCGAAAUGCAUUUAGGUGCAGCGUUGGUUUUGAGUUUUAUAGAGGUAGAGCUACUGAUAGGGCUAGGGGGCUUCACCGCCUACCAAACCCUGACAAACUCCGAAUGCUAUAAAAUGCUUACCAGCAGUGAGGGCAUGGGUGCUAAGGUCCAUGUCCGAGAGGGAAAGAACCCAGACCAUCAGCUAAGGUCCCCAAGUGUAUACUAAGUUGAUCUAACGAGGUCGGAUUGCAUUGACAGCUAGGAUGUUGGCUUGGAAGCAGCCAUUCAUUUAAAGAGUGCGUAACAGCUCACUAGUCGAGCGAUCUGGCAUGGAUAAUAAUCGGGCAUAAGUAUACCACCGAAGCUAUGGACUUUAUAAAAGUGGUAGGGGAGCAUUCUAGUUGUGUUGAAGGUGUAUGGUAAUGUAUGCUGGAACGGCUAGAAAAGAAAAUGUAGGAAUGAGUAACGAUAAUGCAGGCGAGAAACCUGCACACCGCAAGACUAAGGUUUCCUGAACAACGCUAAUCGGUUCAGGGUUAGUCGGGGCCUAAGGCGAACCCGAAUGGGGUAGUCGAUGGAUAACGGGUUAAUAUUCCCGUACUAGUAUAAAUUGUGAUGGAGUGACGGAGAGGUGAAAGGAACGCGUACUGACGGAAUAGUACGUUGAAUGCCGUACGUAUAUGGACAGGUUAAGAGCUAGUCUUUGCUGAAAGCAGAUAGUACUGCAAACCUUCGGGCGAGCAGAUAGUUUCCCUAAUCUUACUUCCUAGAAAAACUUCUAAACUUAAGUUUAUACUACCCGUACCGUAAACCGACACAGGUAGUCGAGGAGAGUAUCCUCAGGUGCUCGAGUGAUUCAUGGCUAAGGAACUAGGCAAAAUGGCCUCGUAACUUCGGGAGAAGAGGCGCCAGCGCGAGCUGGCCGCAGUGAAAAGGCCCAGGCGACUGUUUAUCAAAAACACAUGGCUUUGCUAAAUUGAAAGAUGAUGUAUAAGGCCUGACACCUGCCCGGUGCUGGAAGGUUAAGAGGAGGGGUUAUACUUCGGUAGAAGCUCUGAAUUGAAGCCCCAGUAAACGGCGGCCGUAACUAUAACGGUCCUAAGGUAGCGAAAUUCCUUGUCGGGUAAGUUCCGACCUGCACGAAUGGUGCAACGAUCUGGGCACUGUCUCAGCCAUGAGCUCGGUGAAAUUGUAGUAUCGGUGAAGAUGCCGAUUACCCGCAACGGGACGGAAAGACCCCGUGAACCUUCACUACAGCUUAACAUUGAUAUUGGGUAAAUGAUGUGUAGGAUAGGUGGGAGACUAUGAAGCUGGUACGCUAGUAUUGGUGGAGUCAUCCUUGAAAUACCACCCUUUAUUUAUCUGAUAUCUAAUCCUCAAAGGAGACAUUGUUUGGUGGGUAGUUUGACUGGGGUGGUCGCCUCCAAAAGAGUAACGGAGGCUCCCAAAGGUACCCUCAGUACGCUUGGUAACCGUACGAAGAGUGUAAUAGCAUAAGGGUGCUUGACUGUGAGACCUACAAGUCGAGCAGGAACGAAAGUUGGGUAUAGUGAUCCGGUGGUUCCGCAUGGAAGGGCCAUCGCUCAAAGGAUAAAAGGUACUCCGGGGAUAACAGGCUGAUCUCCCCCAAGAGCUCACAUCGACGGGGGGUUUGGCACCUCGAUGUCGGCUCGUCACAUCCUGGGGCUGGAGAAGGUCCCAAGGGUUGGGCUGUUCGCCCAUUAAAGUGGCACGCGAGCUGGGUUCAGAACGUCGCGAGACAGUUCGGUCCCUAUCUGUUGUGGGCGUUAGAAGCUUGAGAGAACCUGACCUUAGUACGAGAGGACCGGGUUGGACGAACCUCUAGUGUACCUGUUGUGACGCCAGUUGCAUUGCAGGGUAGCUACGUUCGGAUGAGAUAAGCGCUGAAAGCAUCUAAGCGCGAAACUCAUCUCAAGAUGAGGCUUCUUUUAAGGGUCGUUAAAGACGAUGACGUUGAUAGGUUGCAAGUGUAAAGGCAGUAAUGUCAAAGCUGAGCAAUACUAAUUACCCGUAGCUUUCUAAUA